rnacentral:lncRNA from 1 species
GGGGGUUCCAAUUUCUCCAUACCUUUACCAACACUUGUUAUUUUCUCUUUUUUUAUUAUAACCACUCUAGUGGGUGGACCAUGGUAUGUCAUUGUGGUUUUGAUAUAUUAUAACCUGAUGGCUAAUGAUAUUGAAAAUAUUUUUUUUUUAAUUUUAAUAUUUAUUUUUUAGUUUUUGGCAGACACAACAUCUUUGUUUGUAUGUGGUGCUGAGGAUCGAACCUGGGCCGCACACAUGCCAUGGAAGCGCACUACCGCUUGAGCCACAUCCCCAGCCCUUGAAAAUAUUUUCAUGUGCUUAUUAUCCAUUGUAUAUGUUCUUUGAGAAAUGUCUAUAAAAAUUCUUUGCCUUUUUUAAAAGUUGGGUUUUCUUUUCAACAUUGAAUUUUUAAGGGCUCUUCGUAUAUUGUAGACACAAGUACUUUAUCAAAUAUACAAUUUGCAAAUAUUUCUCCCAUUCUCUGAGUUUCCUUAAACUUUCUUGAUACUGUACAUUGAGCCACAAAAAUUAAUUUUUAUGAAUUCCAAAUUGAUGGUUUCUUAUUUUGUUGCUUGUACUUUUGGUGUCAUAUCUAAAGAUCUAUUGCCAAACCAAAGGUCACAAAGAUUUACUCUUGUGUUCUCUUCUAAGCAUUUUACUACUUUAGCUCUCACAUUUAGGUAUCUAAUCUACUUUGAGUAAUUUUUUUUUAUAAAGUAGGGCCCAUCUUAAUUCUUUUGUAUGUGGAUAUCUAGUAUCACACUGUAUUUAUUAGUCUGUAAUUUAUUACAUUUUAGAGGCACUGUUUUUUUCUCUACCAAUCUUUUAAAAAUGUUUAAAAUACUUUAUUUUCCUAAUCACAGUGGUGGUACAUGUAUACAGAGCAAGAUGUACAAGUGGUCUAUUCUCACUAAAUCUUUCCCCCACUCAUUUUAGCAGUUUAUAGUAUAAAUUCUUUCAGAGAGUUGUAUAUGCUGAUACAAUAGAGGAAUGACUGGAUAAAGAUAUGAUGAAAAGAUACAUGUUUAUAUUUAUAUAUUAUACAUGAUAUUUAUUUUAAAUCUAAACAAGUUAAUAUUAUUCUAUUUUUUCAAUUCAAACAUUUUAUGAAUAUGUAAAACACAUUUAUCUAUAUCAAUAAGCAAAAUCUGUUUCUUUUUAUGGCUGCAUAAGACUGCAUAGAACAGACAUAUAGGUCUAAUGCUCAGUUGCUGGGAUCAGGCUUACAGGUAUUGCCUUUAAGAAUGAUCUGUAUAGCGAUAAUUGAAGCCUUCUGACUGGAUGAGAUCACUCAAGUAGAACACAUACUUUCACAAGACAGCUAUAGCAUAAGACAGUAUGGCAUCAGUCAGAAAAGAGCACCUACCAUGGGCAUUAGGACUCUUAGGAUUUAGCACUGAUUUGAGAGUAGGAAAUUCUCACUUAAAUCUCUCCAAGGUUCAUUUUACUUUUUUCUAAAAGGAAGAUGGUCACCAUUUCCUAUUUCCAUGGAAUGACAAGUUAGUGGGGCCAAAUGGGAUAAAAUAUGUGAAAUUCUUUGAUAUAUUCAGAAUAAAAAUGAAUAAAUACAAGCUAUUAUUACAAAAUAUCUUGUAUUACUUGACCUCUUGUUUGAAUUAGAGUUCUAUCAGAACUGAGAAAUUCUGUCUACUUUUUUCCUUAAUCUACAAACAUUAGCACUCUCCAUUCCCAGUACAUUUGUUAUAGUGAAAUAAAAUAAGAAGCAAUUGUCUCUCCCUAAGUUCAUCUAUGUAUGCAUGUACCAUGUCAACCAAGUAGUUUGAUAAUUC